CCAACGGCCCUCUUUAGGGCCACCAUUUAUUGAUUUCCCUUGUUG
rfam:Strongyloides stercoralis strain PV0001 genome assembly, scaffold: SSTP_scaffold0000009